rnacentral:rRNA from 1 species
UACGUAGGGGGCAAGCGUUGUCCGGAAUUAUUGGGCGUAAAGAGCGCGUAGGCGGUCCGAUAAGUCGGCUGUGAAAGUCAGGGGCUCAACCCUUGGAAGCCGGCCGAUACUGUCGGACUAGAGUCCGGAAGAGGCGAGUGGAAUUCCCGGUGUAGCGGUGAAAUGCGCAGAUAUCGGGAGGAACACCAAUGGCGAAGGCAGCUCGCUGGGACGGUACUGACGCUGAGGCGCGAAAGCGUGGGGAGCAACAGG